UACAGAGGGGGCAAGCGUUAUUCGGAAUUAUUGGGCGUAAAGGGCGCGUAGGCGGCUUGGCAAGUGGGAGGUGAAAUCCCUCGGCUUAACCGAGGAACUGCCCUCCAAACUGCUUUGCUUGAGGCCGGGAGAGGUGAGUGGAAUUCCCAGUGUAGCGGUGAAAUUCGUAGAUAUUGGGAGGAACACCAGUGGCGAAGGCGGCUCACUGGACCGGAACUGACGCUGAGGCGCGAAAGCGUGGGGAGCAAACAGG
rnacentral:rRNA from 1 species